CCUACGGGGAGCAGCAGUCGAGAAUCAUUCACAAUGGGGGAAACCCUGAUGGUGCGACGCCGCGUGGGGGAAUGAAGGUCUUCGGAUUGUAAACCCCUGUCAUGUGGGAGCAAAUUAAAAAGAUAGUACCACAAGAGGAAGAGACGGCUAACUCUGUGCCAGCAGCCGCGGUAAUACAGAGGUCUCAAGCGUUGUUCGGAAUCACUGGGCGUAAAGCGGGCGUAGGCUGUUGCGUAAGUCGUGUGUGAAAGGCGCGGGCUCAACCCGCGGACGGCACAUGAUACUGCGAGACUAGAGUAGUGGAGGGGGAACCGGAAUUCUCGGUGUAGCAGUGAAAUGCGUAGAUAUCGAGAGGAACACUCGUGGCGAAGGCGGGUUCCUGGACAUUAACUGACGCUGAGGCACGAAGGCCAGGGGAGCGAAAGGGAUUAGAUACCCUAGUAGUC
rnacentral:rRNA from 1 species